rnacentral:misc_RNA from 1 species
GUAGGUGAACCUGCGGAAGGAUCAUUAUCACAUGAAUCCAUGUAUAAACCAUUGUGCAUUGUCACCCCCUCUAGGUUGAAUUCUGAAUGCUGGUAAACGUUUUAACGGUCACUAUUGUAAUUUGAAGACCUAGUUUACUGGCUAUUUGUCUUGAGCUUUCGGGCGAAAGAUAUAGAUGAAUUCUAACAUACCCAGAGUGUAAUUCAAAUUACAUAACUUAUUGAUUAACAAUUGAAACCCCUUUUAAACU